rnacentral:rRNA from 1 species
UACAGAGGUCUCAAGCGUUGUUCGGAUUCAUUGGGCGUAAAGGGUGCGUAGGCGGCGCGGUAAGUCGGGUGUGAAAUCUCGGAGCUUAACUCCGAAACUGCAUUCGAUACUGCCGUGCUUGAGGACUGGAGAGGAGACUGGAAUUUACGGUGUAGCGGUGAAAUGCGUAGAUAUCGUAAGGAAGACCAGUGGCGAAGGCGGGGUCUCUGGACAGUUCCUGACGCUGAGGCACGAAGGCCAGGGGAGCAAAACGGG